rnacentral:tRNA from 3 species
GCGGAUGUGGUGGAAUUGGUAGACACGCACGUCUAAGGAGCGUGUGGCUUCGGCCUUGCGAGUUCAAGUCUCGCCAUCCGCAUCA